AACGAGCGCAACCCUUAAGGUUAGUUGCCAGCAUUAAGUUGGGCACUUUAGGUUGACUGCCGGUGACAAACCGGAGGAAGGUGGGGAUGACGUCAAAUCAUCAUGCCCCUUAUGAUCUGGGGUACCCCCGUGGUUCAAUGGGGAGUACAAAGGGCAGCGAAAUCGCGAGGUCAAGCAAAUCCCAUAAAGCCGUUUUCAGUUCGGAUUGUAGUCUGCAACUCGACUACAUGAAGCUGGAAUCGCUAGUAAUCGUAGAUCAGCAUGCUACGGUGAAUACGUUCCCGGGUCUUGUACACACCGCCCGUCACACCACGAGAGUUUGUAACACCCGAAGCCGGUGGAGUAACCUUUUAGGAACUAGCCGUCGAAGGUGGGACAAAUGAUUGGGGUGAAGUCGUAACAAGGUAGCCGUAUC
rnacentral:rRNA from 1 species